ACAUCUGGUUGGAGAUUAGGAGAAUAGAGAGGCAAAUGUUGAGUAAAAUGGGAGUUAGGAUCCGGAAGAUAGAGCGAAGUGAUGGUUAAACUGCCCCAGUAAAGCUAGCUCCUGGGGCCGGAGGCUCAGUUCCUGCCUCAAGUCUGUCUAGAGAUCUGGGCAUAAGCUCGGGUUAGGAGAACAGCUUCCAGCUGUUUUCUGUCAGCCCAAGGCAGUGGUCAAAGCCUGAGAUCUGUCUGGACUUUGCAAUCCUGGAAGGCUUUACUGCAGACCAAAGAGCUGCCAGGAGGCCCCAGAAAUGCCUGAGAACAAAGAGGCUGUAAACACACGCUGAAACCUUUUACCAACUGGCUGUGGCCCAAACCAAAAUGAGAAAUGAAUUGCUGAGCAAAGGUGCCACUGAUGAGCCCUGAGGACAUUAAAACCCAGAACACAUAAACCAGGAUGAGAAAUUAAUCAGAAGAUGAAAGAUGGCGGCUUCAGGGACACUGGCUGAGCCUUCUGCAUGCUCCUGGGACCUCAUUUCAGACCAGCAGUACCAUCCCGUGCUGUGAUGAUGACUUAUAUGUAGACAUCACCUCUGCUGGUGGACAGCCUUCUGAUCUGCUGAGUCCCUUCACAGCAAAUCAAAGAAAACAUGACAAAACGCCAUAAACCCAUGCCUUCCCCUGUGUGUCACAGCCUGGUGGCUGGAACAGUUUGUUCAAAAAGAUCAAAGAGGACUGGAGUGCUGUUGUGUCUGUGUUCUGCGAAGGCCCCGGGCCACACACUUCCCACUCAGUGUCCUCACUGGUGUCAUGAGAACGAGUUUCUGCAGACCUGCUUCCUAAUUGAAAGACCACAUUCCUUUUCCUGGGUGUAUGGCUGCUGCUGUUUCCUCUCAUGGCUGGGUAGGCUAAACAACUGUAGAGCCCUUGGGUUCCCCAUACUGUUCCUCCAUUGUUAUGGCUUAUGUCUCAGGUGGCCCCAGCAAACCCCUUUGAAUCUCACAGUCUGUACUGAGGGGCAACUGGGCUGAUUGGUAUACAUACACAUGCAUAUACACACACACAUACACACAUACAUAUGCACACACUAUAUACACACAUGUACAUGAACACACAUCAUAUACACACAUGUAUACACAUAUACACACAUACAUACAUACACAUACAUAUACACACAUACAUAUGCACACAUACUAUAUAUACAUAUACAUAUGCACAUGCAUAUACACAUACAUAUACACACAUACAUAUACACAUACAUAUGCACACACUAUAUACACACAUACAUAUACAUACAUAUAUACACAUAUACAUAUGAACAUGCAUAUACACAUAUACACACAUACAUACACACAUAUACGUAUGCACAUACACAUACAUAUACACAUGUACAUAUGCACAUGCACAUACAUAUAUUGUUUCACAGAGACCUGGAAGCCCUGAGCACCUGGCUGAGGUCCCAAGAAUCUAUGCUAAAACCCAGCUACCAUGACCUUUAUAUUGGCCCUUUUGGUCACUGAAAAGUAUCAAAGCGGGCACAUUAUUUGAGAAAUGUUUGGAUGACAAGACAAAGGGACCCUGACUUGAGGAGUGUGGUCUCUACUGUCAUCUGGGUAAGAAGCACUGAGGACUGCCCUCAAAGUGGCAGUGUAGGAGCAGCUCUGGGUGCUUUGAAAGGGCUUCCCCUCUCCUUCCCGUCUCCCCGUGAAUACAGCUUAAACCCAAAA